rnacentral:tRNA from 1 species
AAUAAGGUGUCUGAUUUUAAGGUCGUAAAUUGUAAGUUUAUGUAUGGUUUAUUAACCCCUUAUUA